GACGAACGCUGGCGGCGUGCCUAACACAUGCAAGUCGAGCGAGUGAAUUUCCUUCGGGAUUGAAGCUAGCGGCGGACGGGUGAGUAACACGUGGGCAACCUGCCUCAUAGAGGGGAAUAGCCUUUCGAAAGGAAGAUUAAUACCGCAUAAGAUUGUAGCUUCGCAUGAAGUAGCAAUUAAAGGAGCAAUCCGCUAUGAGAUGGGCCCGCGGCGCAUUAGCUAGUUGGUGAGGUAACGGCUCACCAAGGCGACGAUGCGUAGCCGACCUGAGAGGGUGAUCGGCCACAUUGGGACUGAGACACGGCCCAGACUCCUACGGGAGGCAGCAGUGGGGAAUAUUGCACAAUGGGGGAAACCCUGAUGCAGCAACGCCGCGUGAGUGAUGACGGCCUUCGGGUUGUAAAGCUCUGUCUUCAGGGACGAUAAUGACGGUACCUGAGGAGGAAGCCACGGCUAACUACGUGCCAGCCGCCGCGGUAACAC
rnacentral:rRNA from 1 species